rnacentral:hammerhead_ribozyme from 1 species
AUAAAGCUAACGAGUCCCAAAUAGGACGAAACGCGCGUCAAACUGGAU